ensembl:scaRNA SCARNA8 small Cajal body-specific RNA 8
UGGGAGGCUGAUACUCAAAUAGAGAUAAAGCUCUGCUCUAGUUGGCACUAGCUCUCCCUAUAAUAAAACUGCCUUUUGAUGACCGGGACGAAUUGAGGGAAAUCGUAACGGACAGAUACGGGGCAUACAGCU